UGGGGAAUUUUGCACAAUGGGGGAAACCCUGAUGCAGCGACGCCGCGUGAUUUAGAAGGCCUUCGGGUUGUAGAAAUCUUUUCUAUGGGAAGAAAAUGACAGUACCAUAGGAAUAAGGACCGGCUAAUUACGUGCCAGCAGCCGCGGUAAUACGUAAGGUCCGAGCGUUGUCCGGAAUCAUUGGGCGUAAAGGGUACGUAGGCGGGUAAGCAAGUUAGAAGUGAAAUCCUAUAGCUCAACUAUAGUAAGCUUUUAAAACUGCUCAUCUUGAGGUAUGGAAGGGAAAGUGGAAUUCCUAGUGUAGCGGUGAAAUGCGCAGAUAUUAGGAGGAAUACCGGUGGCGAAGGCGACUUUCUGGCCAUAACCUGACGCUGAGGUACGAAAGCGUGGGUAGCAAACAGG
rnacentral:rRNA from 1 species